GCGCCUUUAGCUCAGCUGGUAGAGCAGUAGACUCUUAAUCUAUUUGUCCAGGGUUCGAAUCCCUGAAGGCGCAC
rnacentral:tRNA from 1 species